rnacentral:rRNA from 1 species
AGUGAACGCUGGCGGUAGGCCUAACACAUGCAAGUCGAACGGCAGCACAGUAAGAGCUUGCUCUUACGGGUGGCGAGUGGCGGACGGGUGAGGAACACAUCGGAAUCUACUUUUUCGUGGGGGAUAACGUAGGGAAACUUACGCUAAUACCGCAUACGACCUACGGGUGAAAGCAGGAGAUCUUCGGACCUUGCGCGAUUGAAUGAGCCGAUGUCGGAUUAGCUAGUUGGCGGGGUAAAGGCCCACCAAGGCGACGAUCCGUAGCUGGUCUGAGAGGAUGAUCAGCCACACUGGAACUGAGACACGGUCCAGACUCCUACGGGAGGCAGCAGUGGGGAAUAUUGGACAAUGGGCGCAAGCCUGAUCCAGCCAUACCGCGUGGGUGAAGAAGGCCUUCGGGUUGUAAAGCCCUUUUGUUGGGAAAGAAAAGCAGCAGGUUAAUACCCCGCUGUUCUGACGGUACCCAAAGAAUAAGCACCGGCUAACUUCGUG